UGGCACCCCAUUGUUAAUGAGCUUAAUUCCUUGUUGAUUAGCUCUAUCUUCUCUUUGAUUGCGAUAGGAUUAGGUUUAUUUUAAACUUAAACUCUUAUCAGAUAAAAGUCCAAGAUCAUCCAAACUCUAUCCUAACCACUUGGCCACCAAAUAUAAAAGGACAUGGGUCUUGGGCCUGGAGAAGAAUUAGAGAUCAUCCAUCCAUCUUGUAUUGCCACCCUAAUUCCUCUUGCUUCUGCCUAAAUCCACAUGCCCCACCUCCUCCUGGUUGGCCACCG
rnacentral:lncRNA from 1 species